UUGCUGYUUYGCUGACGAGUGGCGGACGGGUGAGUAAUGUCUGGGAAACUGCCUGAUGGAGGGGGAUAACUACUGGAAACGGUAGCUAAUACCGCAUAACGUCGCAAGACCAAAGAGGGGGACCUUCGGGCCUCUUGCCAUCGGAUGUGCCCAGAUGGGAUUAGCUWGUWGGUGGGGUAACGGCUCACCWAGGCGACGAUCCCUAGCUGGUCUGAGAGGAUGACCAGCCACACUGGAACUGAGACACGGUCCAGACUCCUACGGGAGGCAGCAGUGGGGAAUAUUGCACAAUGGGCGCAAGCCUGAUGCAGCCAUGCCGCGUGUAUGAAGAAGGCCUUCGGGUUGUAAAGUACUUUCAGCGGGGAGGAA
rnacentral:rRNA from 1 species